rnacentral:lncRNA from 1 species
UCAGCUUCUAUCACUACCAAUUCCAAACAGAGCUCCAUGCUUGUGGUGUCAGGUAGACAGGAGAGCUCUUAACUCAAGGAAUUUUCGGCUCAGCGCUCAGUGAUGUUCAUCCAAGUAACGAUUCUCCUGAGUUUUACAAAAUCUGACUCCUACUCAAAAGAGGGACAGAGCAGGUGAUGGAACCAGCCCUGGAAGGCACAGGCAAAGAGGGGAAGAAAGCAUCCUCCAGGAAGCGUACAUUGGCUGAACCUCCAGCGAAGGGCCUCCUGCAGCCAGUGAAGCUCAGCAGGGCAGAACUGUACAAGGAGCCUACCAAUGAGGAGCUUAAUCGCCUUCGGGAGACUGAGAUCUUGUUCCACUCCAGCUUGCUUCGUUUACAGGUAGAGGAGCUACUAAAGGAAGUAAGGCUGUCAGAGAAGAAGAAGGAUCGGAUUGAUGCCUUCCUACGGGAGGUCAACCAGCGGGUUGUGAGGGUGCCCUCAGUCCCUGAGACAGAGAGUCUUGCUCUGUUCCCCAGGCUGUAGUGCAGUGGUGCGAUCUCGGCUCACUGCAUGCUCCGCCUUCCGGGUUCACGCCAUUCUUCUGCCUCAGCCUCCCCAGCAGCUGGGACUACAGGCGCACGCCGCCAUGCCCGGCUAAUUAUUUUUGUAGAGACGGGGUUUCACCGUGUUAGCCAGGAUGGUCUCGAUCUUCUGACCUCGUGAUCCGCCCACCUCGGCCUCCCAAAGUGCUGGGAUUACAGGCGUGAGCCACCACGCC